CCAAAAUAGAAAAUGCAUCAUGAUCUUGCUCUUUGUUACACAUUCUGCUCUUUUACUGUUCCAAGUAAUAAUUUGUACCUGUUUAAACAUUCUUGUCUCUCAAUAAAUAUUACAUAUCUUUUUGUAAUAAAUCAUAAAUCAUAUGUUUUUGUAUUACAUUUUGGGGUAUUGUAAUAAAACAGGGUUGUGCACAGUAUGUCCUACUGUGCACAACAACAGAUUUUCCAUAUUUUUAAUGCUUCUAUCAAUAGAUAGACUUUGACUCAGACUGUUUAAUCUUUUUUGUUUCUUAGUUUCACAGUUCUUCUUCUUCAUGAAGUCAAAGCGUCAACGAAACAACCUGAUGAGACCAUUCACAUCCCAAAAGGGUGUCCUGUCCUUCCAUAUGACAUUGAAUAAGUCCAGGACACAGGAGUUUGACAUCGACAUUGAGCUCAUUUAUGACUCCGAUGCUUCUCCGUCAUGAAUCUUCUCCGUCAGAGGCCAGCGGCACCAAAAAAGGAGUUUGACGUCAAAAUUGAGCUCUCAUUAUGACUGGGGCACUACUGAACUGUUAUCAUGUGAGGAGCAAGGGACAAGACUAAAAUCUUCUCUGUCAGAGACCAACUGCACUGAAAAAGGUAAGAAUCACAUUAAAUAUGACCACAUUGAUGCUGGAAUGUUGUAAAGGUACUAUUGUAAUGGGGUCUAAAUGAAAUAUAAUUACUAUGGUCCUACUUCUUACCAGUUAACAUUUAGUUUGUGCUUGUUUUUCUU